GGUAAUUUAGAUUCAACAUUAGGGUUAGUUUUGAUUUUUAAGAAUGGGAUAUGUGGUUAUUUAGAUGCAAAUUUAGGGCUGCUUAAUUUAUUUUUUUAUAAUAGUAUAGGUGGUUAAUUUAUAUGAAGAUUAGAAUGUUAUUUUUUAUGUGGCAGAGAUAUGUAGUUUAGAUAUAGAUUAGGGGUACCUUAGACUAUUUUCACAAUGACAAAAAUAAGUAAUUUUCUAGGAAAUACCCAUGACUAUAUUUUUAGUCUCUACCGGAUCGACGGUAAGAUGUUUAUGAUUUUUAUAAGAAGUUUUAAAAAUUAUAUUUUCUAAAAAAACACGUCUCGUGGCAUGCGUGCAUUUAUGAAUCCUCAUGCAAUAGACUGACUGAAAAAACAUAGCAUCACAAGCAGUAGCGAUGAUAUCA
rnacentral:lncRNA from 1 species